rnacentral:rRNA from 1 species
AUGGGCAUGUUACGUUGUGGUUUAGUUGAGAUUGAGGAAGCCGCUAUGGCUAGGUUCUUGGGUGGAUUGAAUAGAGAAAUUUAUGACAUACUUGCUUAUAAAGAUUAUCAUUCAAUGACCCGUUUAUUCCAUCUUGCUAUACAUGCUGAACAUGAAGUGCAGGGUCGUUCCAGACUGCGUCCUAAUUUUUCUGCAGGUCGUACUUCCACAUGGGCGUCACGCACUCCUGCUGCCCCGUCCACUCGCACCUCUACAACAGCACCUGCAACCUCUCGACCGGGGCCUUCUUCAUCAACUUCAGCAUCACACACUUCGGCACCACUGAAAAGUACUACACAAAUUCCAACAAAAAGUUCAGCGUCAUCGUCCGCUUCCUCCAAAAGAACAAAGGAUAUCCAAUGCCACACUUGCAAGGGAUUUGGCCAUGUCAUGAAGGAGUGUCCUAAUAAGCGUGUAUUGAUCAUUCGUGAAGACGGCGAGUACGACUCUGCUAGUGAUUUUGAUGAAGACACAUAUGCCUUGCUUGCUACACAUGAAGACGAUGACACAAGACCGGAGCAAGAGGAAGAACAUGUGACCGCUGACGACGCCGAUAAGUACAUGAGUCUUAUAUCACAUCGUGUACUUAGUGCUCAGAUUGUCAAAGCAAAGAAGGAUCAACGUCACAACCUCUUCCACAUCAAAGGAGUCAUCAAGGAGCGUUCCGUUCGCAUAAUCAUUGAUGGAGGGAGUUGUAACAAUUUAGCAAGCAUUGACAUGGUGGAGAAGCUCUCCCUACCUUAG